CGUGGCAAGAAACAGCCUUACAUUAAUACAAGAAAAUGAACAGAAAUGAACAAUUAAAAUCCCAUGGGAGUCUUAGACGUCGCCGUUGUUUUGAAAUCAUUUCUGUGUUAAACAAGUUAUCUUGAAUCAUUCUACGUAGCAAAGAAACACAUUUUCAGACAUUCAAAGUUAACGCAUUGUUUAAUUUUAACAUAGGUACGGAAGAUGGUGAAAAAUAUCUUGUUGGAAUUAUAGUGUUAAUAAUUCUCGUGAUAAUUUUGCUCGUUACCCUUGCUUAUUUCAUUUAUCAAAUUCGUCGACUCAAAUCAUCAAAGGCAAACGCGGAGAACAAGAGCAAGGACAGAAAUAAUUCAAAAGAAAUUGAUGAAAAUCCUGGCAAUGAUGAUGCGAAUUAUGAUGAUGCGAAUUAUGAAGAAGUGGAAAAUGAAGAGUCGACGUAUACAGCUCUCAAAAGACCUGGCCCUGGGGAGGAAGAAAAUGAUGGUCAUUUAUAUGCCCAUCUAAAUGAAGUACACACGGACUACGUGAAUCAGGCAGAAACUGGAUUUUGAGGAGGUUCUUGUACGAAGCCCAUUUGGUUUAUCUUGUGAAGAAACUCAAUAUAGAAAUCGCUUGUUGAAUAACCAAGUUUUCGACUUGAAUAGAAAAUUACCAAUCCAAAGUAAUUAUUAGAAUGUUGUCAUUAUAUCUACAGUCAAAUUAUUAGACUGUUAUCAUUAUAAAACAUAAUCUACGCCUAAUAAAUAUAGAUGUGAACAAGUUACUACAGAUAUAUUGGCAAUCUAAAAUUUAUAUUCUGCCGAACCGUCAGUAUAUAUAUAUAUAUACUCUUUCAAAACUACAUUAAGAUGAUGUUUCAAUAUUAUGUUUGUAUAUACAUACAAGCGGCUGUAAAUUUAAACGUGAAAUAUCUAAAAGAAGUAAACGACAGUAAACGAUAUUAAUUGUGCUUUAACAAAAAUUAGCUCGUUGACACUAGCAAUUUAGAUCGAUCCCAAGCCGAUUCAGAGUUGUAUCGGGCCAAGUUUGGACCGACCAACAACGAGGCUGAAACUGA
rnacentral:lncRNA from 1 species